ACAACUCUGAGCGGUGGAUCACUUGGUUUGUGGAAGCUAUGAAGACCAUAGCAAAGUGUGAGAAUGCUGGUGAGCUGCUGCAACUGCGCCACGCAUCCUUUCACAUGUCGAACGCACAUUGCGCCCCACCAUAUUGCGCUGACGUACCACGGGGAAAACGCUGGAUGUCACAUUGAAC
rnacentral:rRNA from 1 species